rnacentral:rRNA from 1 species
ACCUGGUCUUGACAUCCCGGAGACCCUUAGGAAACUAGGGGUGCUCCAUCUGGAAGAAUCUGGAGACAGGUGCUGCAUGGCUGUCGUCAGCUCGUGUCGUGAGAUGUUGGGUUAAGUCCCGCAACGAGCGCAACCCUUGCCUUUAGUUGCCAGCAGUUCGGCUGGGCACUCUAAAGGGACUGCCGGUGUUAAACCGGAGGAAGGUGGGGAUGACGUCAAGUCCUCAUGGCCUUUAUGACCAGGGCUACACACGUACUACAAUGGCCGAUACAAAGGGCAGCGACACUGCGAGGUGAAGCCAAUCCCGUAAAAUCGGUCUCAGUCCGGAUUGGAGUCUGCAACUCGACUCCAUGAAGUUGGAAUCGCUAGUAAUCGUGGAUCAGCAUGCCACGGUGAAUACGUUCCCGGGCCUU